AUGUUCUCGCCGGCGAUCCGGAAACCCCACCUCCACCGCAGGGAGAAGGAGGAGGCGACCCCUUCACCCCCUCCUCCCGCUCCCGCCCACUCCCCUUCCCCUGGUGGAUUCAUCCUCUCCGACCGCCCCGCCACCGGCACCCCGGCCCCAUGGACCACCUCCUCCCUCCUCGCCAGGAUUUCGACAUCAAAGCAAACAGACAGGGCCGGCGAUUCUGACCAGAUCCAACCAGUGCGCGUAGCAGAGUUUCCCCAAGUCGUGAGGAAUGCACAAGCCAACCUUCUGCAGAGGAAUUUCGCCGAUGCCGUUUAUGUAUCCCUUGUAGGCAAGAGCAUGCUUGUAGGUGGCAUUGACAAAGAGACAUCCCUUGCAUGGAUGAUAUGUGGAAAUGAGCUUUUUGUCUGGAGCUACUUGGCUGCUGUUGCAAAAGAUUGUCUUGCACUUGAGAUCCCGUCUUCGCUUGUGGGAGACAAAGACGGAAAACCCCUCUCUGGUAACCAGUGGACGGUUUGCAUCAUGAGAUGGCAUAGUAGUGGUCCAUCAACAAGGAACAGUGGAGAUAUGUUGCACCGAAGAAGUUCAACUGGUGUUAUCCUCUGCAACAGAAGAACACAAGCUAUUGCGUAUUGGCCUGAUAUCUAUGAUGAAAGUAGUGGCAAGGGUCCAGUUCUUAGUUUAUUUGGCCACAGUGACACAUCUGCAAGUGAUGCCAUAUCUGUCUGUUACAGGUUUAACUCGGUAAUUGCAGCUUCCGUUCCAGGAGCUGCUCAUGAAUGUAUUGCGAUUGCUUCUGAGCCAACAGGUGCUUUAUGGUUGUUUCAGUGUUCACCACUGAGAAUUCACCGAAGAGAAGUCCAUUGUGAUACAUUAGGAGAUAAUGCUACUGAUCAUUCUCAGAAAAAUAAUGGUGGAAGAUCCUUGGUUUGGCUACCAAGCAAUGAAUCAUCCGAGGCUGCUGAACGGAAGUUCUUUUUGUUGACUAGCCAGGGGAUACAAUGUUGGGGCAUCUCACUCUUGCAUGGAAUCAAUGUAAAAAUAUUAGGGUCUCAGGAAAUUGUUGGUAGUGAUGGGGAGUUGGGCAUAAAAAAGGACAUAGCUGGUCAAAAGAACAUCUGGCUUUUGGACAUGCAGAUAGAUGAGCGCGGGAAGGAAUUUAAUAUUCUUGUUGCUACCUUCUGCAAAGACCGGGUGAGUGGGUCAAACUACACUCAGUAUUCACUUCUGACAAUGCUGUACAAAUCUAACCAAAAGUUUCCAUCCGAAAACAAUGUGGUUAAACGCGAAAGGUUUUUGGAGAAAAAAGCUCCUGCUCAGGUGAUAAUUCCUAAAGCUCGAGUGGAGGAUGAAGAAUUUUUGUUCUCCAUGAGGCUAAAAACUGGCGGCAAGCCUUCUGGCUCAGUGAUCAUCUUAUCAGGUGAUGGAAAAGCAACGGUGGCCAUCUAUUGGAGGGGCUCUACCCGACUCUAUCAAUUUGAUCUGCCUUGGGAUGCUGGAAAGGUUUUUGAUGCUUCCAUUAUCCCAUCUGCUGAGGAUAGGGAUGAAGGAGCUUGGGUUGUUCUGACAGAAAAGGCAGGAAUCUGGGCAAUACCUGAAAAGGCUGUAUUAGUAGGUGGGGUUGAGCCUCCAGAGCGCAGCUUAUCACGAAAAGGUAGCUGUAAUGAAGCGGUCGCUGAAGAGAAAAGGAGAAGUCAAGCAUUCAGUGCCAGUAUUGUUCCCAGAAGAGUUAGCUCUGAGGCUUGGAGUGCUGGAGACAGGCAAAGACCAGCAUUAACUGGCGUAGCCCAGCAGGCUGUGGUUGAUGAAGAGGCUGAGAUGUUACUUAAUAGGCUGUUUCAUGAUUUUAUUUUGUCAGGCGCUGUUCAUGAGGCACUUCAAAAGCUUAGAGUAGCAGGGGCAUUUGAGAAAGAGGGUGAGAUGAACGUAUUUGUUCGAGUAAGCAGAUCUAUUGUAAACACAUUAUCUAAGCACUGGACAACAACUAGAGAAGCUGAAUUUCUUGCUUCAACUAUUGUUUCAUCCCUUGCCGAGAAACGUCAAAAACAUGAGAAAUUCCUUCAAUUUCUUGUCUUGUCCAAGUGCCAUGAAGAACUCUCUUCAAAACAAAGAGCUGCAAUGCUAAGUGUCAUGGAACAUGGAGAAAAGCUCUCUGGAAUGAUCCAUCUUAGAGAAUUACAAAAUGCGCUUAGCCAGCAGAGUUCAAGCACACGUUUAUCACCACAGUCCAAAACUCCAACUGCUGGUGCACUGUGGAAUCUCAUUCAGCUGGUCGGUGAGAAAGCUCGACGGAACACUGUUCUAUUAAUGGAUCGUGAUAAUGCUGAAGUUUUCUACAGUAGAGUUUCUGACAUAGAGGAUCUAUUUUAUUGUUUGUCGCAUCAACUUCGGUAUAUUAUAACCGGAGAAGAACACCCAUCUGUUCAGAUGCAAUGUGCACUUGAGUUAUCAAAUGCCUGUGUGACCUUAGUUCAGGCAGCAUUACACUACAGAGCGGAGUACAAGGACUGGUAUCCUUCUCCUGAAGGGCUGAUAACAUGGAACAGUCAGCCUGUAGUGCGGUCUGGAAUCUGGAAUCUGGCAUCAUCUGUGAUGGAGCUUUUGAGAGAACCAGGAUCUGCAGGCAUGCCAAUGAAAUCUAAUCUAUGGUCUCAGCUGGAAGGACUCACAGAUAUGCUACUGGAGGGAUAUAUUGGUGUAUUAACUGCCAAAUUUGAACGUGGGGAGGACCAUGGUGUGCUAGCCCAAGAAUACUGUGAACGGAGAGAUGAGCUUCUUGGAUCCCUUUAUGACCUUGCAAAGCAAAUUAUAGAAGCAAAAUAUCAGGAGUCAAGUGAAGGCAAUGACAAUCCUGAUCUGAAAGAAUCUAUAUUUAGAGAGGUCACUUCUCCUAUUUUGGCAACAGCUAAACGGCAUGAAGGGUACCAAACGUUGUGGCAGAUUUGCUAUGAUAUCAGUGAUACGGUUCUCCUCCGCAAUCUUAUGCAUGAUAGUAUAGGACCUCAUGGGGGAUUCAGUUUCUACGUUUUUAAACAGCUAAUCAACAGUCGGCAUUACGCUAAGCUGUUAAGGCUGGGAGAAGAAUUCCAGGAAGAGCUAGCUAAUUUUCUGAAAGACCGCAGCGAUCUUUUGUGGCUUCAUGAGAUAUGCUUAAAUCAGUUCUCAACUGCUUCAGAGACUCUUCAUACCUGUGCUCUGCUUUCAAGUCCUGGAGAAGAUGCUGACCUAACAAGCACCAGAAAGUCGCUGUCCUUUGUUGAAAGAAGACGUCUUCUCUAUCUCUCUAAAAUUGCUGCAACAGCAGGUAAGGAUGUUGAUUAUGAAGUGAAGGUUGCACAGAUAGAUGCUGAUAUCCGGAUUCUAAAUCUUCAGGAAGAGAUUGUUCAGCAUGAUCCAGAAUAUGCACAGGGCAAACAUGCAAGCAAGCUUCUUCCGCCAUCAGAACUGAUCGAGAUGUGCAUGAAGAGAGGCCGCGAGCUUUCUCUCAAAGCCUUCGAAGUAUUUGCUUGGACAGGCUCCUCGUUCCGAAGCUCCAACAAAGGCCUUCUAGAGGCUUGCUGGACAAACGCAGCCGACCAGGAUGACUGGGUCGAGCUCUCACAGGCAUCAGUUUCAGAAGGCUGGAGCGACGAGGUCAUCCAAGAAUCUCUUCAGGGAACGGUCCUCUUCAACGCUUCGAGGCUGUGCUACAGCUCAGACGCGGUGGUGUUCGACGGCACGUUCGAGGAGGUGCUCCCCGUGAGGAAAGAGGACGUGCAAGCGAGAGGCCUGGAGGCCAAGUGCUUCUCGGUGGAGGAGGUGCUGAUGCAGCACGACGCUUUUCCGGACGCCGGUAGGCUGAUGAUGACGGCGGUGGUGAUGGGCAAGGAGCUGUCCUAUGCUGCCCCGGCAGAUGAGCCUGUGGACAUGGACUCAUGA
rnacentral:rRNA from 1 species